rnacentral:rRNA from 1 species
CAGUAGCCGCGGUAACACGAAGGGGGCUAGCGUUGUUCGGAUUUACUGGGCGUAAAGGGCGCGUAGGCGGACUGAUAAGUCAGGGGUGAAAUCCCAAGGCUCAACCUUGGAACUGCCUUUGAUACUGUUUGUCUUGAGUUCGAGAGAGGUAAGUGGAACUGCGAGUGUAGAGGUGAAAUUCGUAGAUAUUCGCAAGAACACCAGUGGCGAAGGCGGCUUACUGGCUCGAAACUGACGCUGAGGCGCGAAAGCGUGGGGAGCAAACAGGAUUAGAUACCCCGGUAGUCCCUGUCUCUUAUAC